GACGAACGCUGGCGGCGUGCUUAACACAUGCAAGUCGAGCGAUGAAGCUUUCUUCGGGAAGUGGAUUAGCGGCGGACGGGUGAGUAACACGUGGGUAACCUGCCUCAAAGUGGGGGAUAGCCUUCCGAAAGGAAGAUUAAUACCGCAUAAUAUAGGGGAAUUGCAUGAUUUCCUUAUCAAAGAUUUAUUGCUUUGAGAUGGACCCGCGGCGCAUUAGCUAGUUGGUAAGGUAAUGGCUUACCAAGGCAACGAUGCGUAGCCGACCUGAGAGGGUGAUCGGCCACAUUGGAACUGAGACACGGUCCAGACUCCUACGGGAGGCAGCAGUGGGGAAUAUUGCGCAAUGGGGGAAACCCUGACGCAGCAACGCCGCGUGGGUGAUGAAGGUCUUCGGAUUGUAAAGCCCUGUUUUCUGGGACGAUAAUGACGGUACCAGAGGAGGAAGCCACGGCUAACUACGUGCCAGCAGCCGCGGUAAUACGUAGGUGGCGAGCGUUGUCCGGAUUUACUGGGCGUAAAGGGUGCGUAGGCGGAUAUUUAAGUGGGAUGUGAAAUCCCCGGGCUUAACCUGGGGGCUGCAUUCCAAACUGGAUAUCUAGAGUGCAGGAGAGGAAAGCGGAAUUCCUAGUGUAGCGGUGAAAUGCGUAGAGAUUAGGAAGAACACCAGUGGCGAAGGCGGCUUUCUGGACUGUAACUGACGCUGAGGCACGAAAGCGUGGGUAGCAAACAGGAUUAGAUACCCUGGUAGUCCACGCCGUAAACGAUGGAUACUAGGUGUAGGGGGUAUCAACUCCCCCUGUGCCGCAGUUAACACAAUAAGUAUCCCGCCUGGGGAGUACGGUCGCAGGAUUAAAACUCA
rnacentral:rRNA from 1 species